rnacentral:rRNA from 1 species
GCAGAGGAUGCUUCUGGGUAGCGGCCGGUCUAAGUUCCUUGGAACAGGACGUCAUAGAGGGUGAGAAUCCCGUAUGUGACCGGUUGGCGCCCUCCACGUAGCUCCUUCGACGAGUCGAGUUGUUUGGGAAUGCAGCUCUAAAUGGGUGGUAAAUGUCAUCUAAAGCUAAAUACCGGCCAGAGACCGAUAGCGCACAAGUAGAGUGAUCGAAAGAUGAAAAGUACUUUGGAAAGAGAGUUAAAAAGCACGUGAAAUUGUUAAAAGGGAAGCGCAUGCAACCAGACUUGUCCGCGGUGUUCCGCCGGUCUUCUGACCGGUCUACUCGCCGCGGGCAGGCCAGCAUCGUCUGGGCGCGCCGGACAAAGGCGCAGGGAAUGUAGCCCCUCGGGGUGUUAUAGCUCUGCGCACAAUACGGCGCCGCCCGGGCGAGGUCCGCGCUUCGGCUAGGAUGCUGGCGUAAUGGUUGUCUGCGGCCCGUCUUGAAACACGGACCAAGGAGUCUAACAUCUAUGCGAGUGUUCGGGUGUCAAACCCCUACGCGGAAUGAAAGUGAACGGAGGUGGGAGCCCUCGGGCGCACCAUCGACCGAUCCUGAUGUCUUCGGAUGGAUUUGAGUAAGAGCAUAGCUGUUGGGACCCGAAAGAUGGUGAACUAUGCCUGAAUAGGGUGAAGCCCUUUGAAAGGCUGGUGGAGGCUCGCAGCGGUUCUGACGUGCAAAUCGAUCGUCAAAUUUGGGUAUAGGGGCGAAA